rnacentral:rRNA from 1 species
GUAGGGGGCAAGCGUUGUCCGGAUUUACUGGGCGUAAAGCGCGUGUAGGCGGCCACGCAGGUCCGUUGUGAAAACUGGAGGCUCAACUUCCAGACGUCGAUGGAAACCGUGUGGCUAGAGUCCGGAAGAGGAGAGUGGAAUUCCUGGUGUAGCGGUGAAAUGCGCAGAUAUCAGGAAGAACACCAAUGGCGAAGGCAGCUCUCUGGGACGGUACUGACGCUGAGACGCGAAAGCGUGGGGAGCGAACAGGAUUAGAUACCCUGGUAGUCCACGCCGUAAACGAUGGGUGCUAGGUGUGGGAGGUGUCGACUCCUUCCGUGCCGAAGCUAACGCAUUAAGCACCCCGCCUGGGGAGUACGGCCGCAAGGCUAAA